AUCUGAAAAAUACUCUGCAUUGAAAGCUUCUAGGAAGACUUCCUAGGUGAUUGGUGGGACCAAGGCCCCUCUUUUCAAUUUCCACCAGCGUUUGACGGACCCUCUUAACAUGAAUGUAGCCAGCUGUACUCUCUGUUCUAUAGUCACAGUCAUCACUUUGAAUAAUUUUUCUGUCUUCUUUAUCCAAUCCUCCGCCACCAGUGGGUCAGACCCCCUAUUGAAGGCAGGAGGGUUCAGCCCUCGGUAUUUCUCAAUAUUGCUCGUAUCCACCCCCAUAUGGGGACCCCUUGUUGUGGCACCGAUGCUGCCUCUGUCACAACUCUCUAUCUCUAAUCACGGUAUCUAGGCUCUCAACCACUCUGCACAGCCGAUUAAAGUCCUCCUGCUGUACGCCGGACUGCUCUGCAUGGGUUGCCGAUGGACCAGCAGCUUAUCUCGGCUGUACGGGAGGGGGCACAGUGUGACACGGGGGUCGCCCUUGAAAUGCAGCGAGUGGUACAUGGUGAAAUCCCAGGGCUCGUCGUGGGGCCCCUGGGGUGGGCUCACGACGGGGUCGGCCCCUACCCUUCUUCAUCACCUCCCUCGACUCACCUGUAUAAUAGCGGCACCCAUCAUUAGUACUCUUAAUUUGCUCUGAUACCAACUGUAACGCCCCAUUUUUUUUUCCAUAUUGGACGUACUUAACAAGCAACCAAUUCCAUAACAAAACGGUCAUGCACAAGGAAACAGUAGCAUAAUCCAUUAUCUAGUGAUCAAGAUUAUCCUACAAUCAUGGACAAGACAUCGCACACAAUACAACCAUACUCAAUAUCUAUGCUACCAUCGAUUCUACGUAUUCCAUUCAGUCAAAACAAAACGACACUCUUCAUCCUGUACUCUACACAUUAGGUUCGGAAUCCAACAACUUUGAUCCAGACUCCGUCCCUACAUCAUCUGUAAAAAGGAAACGCUAGCACUAUCCAACGAUUAAGAUAAUCCUACAAUCAUGGACAAGACAUCGCACACAAUACAACAAUACUCAAUAUCUAUGCUACCAUCAAUUCUAUAUAUUCCAUUCAGUCAAAACAAAACGAAACUCUUCAUCCUAUACUCUACACACUAGGUUCGAAAUCCAACAACUUCGAUCCAAACUCCAUCCCUACAUUAUCUAUAAAAAGGAAAGAGUGAGUUCAUUUAACUCAGUACGGUAAAACUCAAAAUACAUGCAUGAGAUGCAACAAUAUAAAACCCUAUGCCUCUACCAAUAGUUCACUACUGAACUCCAAUUAUUCCUCCUGCACCUACAACUCUACUUACCCUAGGUGUCCGUUCCUUGACGGCACUCCAGGAGUGCCAGUGGUACCAUUCACCGCCAAGAUUGGCAACCAUUGACACCUAUUGACCUCUAGUGGGUCACGCACGUAUACGAGUUUCAAUCAUUUUCGUCACCAAUAGCAGCGACCAUCAUUAACCUAUCGACCCCCUAUCAGGCCACACACACACACUCUAAUCCUUCUUCCCGUCACCACCAUCGGCGACCGUUAGCCAUCUCACGACCUAUACCAGGCCACUCACACACACCUGAUUUUCAUUCACUUGCGUCACCAACAUCGGCGACCGUUAGCCAUCUCUCGACCUAUACCAAGCAACUCACACACACUCUGAUCAUUCCCUCUCGUCACUGAUAUCAGCGACCACUAACCAUCUCUCGACCUAUACCAGGCCACGCACGUACACCAUUUUCAUUCAUUUGAUUUUCGUCACCAACAUCGACGACUGUUAGCCAUCUCUCGACCUAUACUAGGCCACUCACACAUACUCUGAUCAUUCCCUCUCGUUACUGAUAUCGGCGACUACUAACCAUCUCUCGACCUAUACCGGCCACGUACGCACACCUUUUUCAUUCACUUGCAUCACCAAUAUCGGCAACCAUCGUCUACCUAUCGACCCCCAUUGGCCACACACACACACACCACUCCUUCUCGUCCACUGUCUCUCUCUCCGCCCGCUGCCUGCGACAUGUCCUAAUUGCCCCUACUCACCCCGUCCUUCUUCCCCCAAAGCUCUUUC
rnacentral:lncRNA from 1 species